rnacentral:rRNA from 1 species
GCAAGUCGAGCGAACAGAAGGGAGCUUGCUCCCGGAUGUUAGCGGCGGACGGGUGAGUAACACGUGGGUAACCUGCCUGUAAGACUGGGAUAACUCCGGGAAACCGGAGCUAAUACCGGAUAGUUCCUUGAACCGCAUGGUUCAAGGAUGAAAGACGGUUUCGGCUGUCACUUACAGAUGGACCCGCGGCGCAUUAGCUAGUUGGUGGGGUAAUGGCUCACCAAGGCGACGAUGCGUAGCCGACCUGAGAGGGUGAUCGGCCACACUGGGACUGAGACACGGCCCAGACUCCUACGGGAGGCAGCAGUAGGGAAUCUUCCGCAAUGGACGAAAGUCUGACGGAGCAACGCCGCGUGAGUGAUGAAGGUUUUCGGAUCGUAAAGCUCUGUUGUUAGGGAAGAACAAGUGCGAGAGUAACUGCUCGCACCUUGACGGUACCUAACCAGAAAGCCACGGCUAACUACGUGCCAGCAGCCGCGGUAAUACGUAGGUGGCAAGCGUUGUCCGGAAUUAUUGGGCGUAAAGGGCUCGCAGGCGGUUUCUUAAGUCUGAUGUGAAAGCCCCCGGCUCAACCGGGGAGGGUCAUUGGAAACUGGGAAACUUGAGUGCAGAAGAGGAGAGUGGAAUUCCACGUGUAGCGGUGAAAUGCGUAGAGAUGUGGAGGAACACCAGUGGCGAAGGCGACUCUCUGGUCUGUAACUGACGCUGAGGAGCGAAAGCGUGGGGAGCGAACAGGAUUAGAUACC